AGCGCUCUGCAUCUGUUCCAGUCUCUGGAGGAGCAAACAGCAGCAGUGAGCCCGGCCCAGGCUGCCCGUGUGGAUGCGCAGCAGUGAGCGGAGCCGGAAUCUUUCCAGGCCUCUCAUCUCAUUUGCACCCUGAUGUGCCCAUCCGCUGGAGGUGGCCCUACUAAGCGUCGGCUAUGUACCAGCCUCACAAUCAUGCUUUGACCUGUCAUUCAGUCUCCACCACAGCCUUACCACUUAGAUCACCUUCAGAUCACUCUACAGAAAAACGAGCCUCUGAGAGCUUAACUUGCCCAGAAUAUUUCUGGCCUCAUCCAAAUGUCAGUGUUUUUUGCUGUACACACUUCUACUAUUUGAUCAAUCACAGUACCACACUGAAGUACAAAGGCCAGAGAGGUAUGCAUGUUCAGUUCCUCAGACAGCUACUGACAUGCAAAUGGCACCUUCUUCCCUGCCUGAGCCUCCAGAGACAUCCAAAACGCUGCGGUUGGCCAGCUGCAGGACCAAGUACAGUUCUAAGGGAAUUUCAUUUCCCCUGGAAAAUAAGGCACUUUCUUCUGCCCUUGGCUCUUAGAAGUGCCACCCCACGGCCUCGUCCCUGUUCCUGUGAUGACUGCCAAUCAUCUUUACCAACCCACCCGCCCUAUAAUUCUGACAUGAGUGUCACAUUCCCUUGGAGCCACCUGGAAAUGUCUGGAAAUACCUUUGCCCUAGAGAGUAGUGGUAUCACCUAAUAGGAGUUAUUUGUUUGCUGGUUUAUUUCUUCCUACUUUCCAUUUUAAUCACCUUUUUAUAUCAGUCCCAAAGCUUUUGUCUGUUCUUAUCAUGAAACCUUCUUUCUUACCUUUUC
rnacentral:lncRNA from 1 species